AGUCGAAACACCUCUUCGGAGGUGUCUGUAGGGGCUGACCGCCCUGCACUGAUGAGACAGGUCACG
rnacentral:hammerhead_ribozyme from 1 species